rnacentral:rRNA from 1 species
GCGUCGAGUGGCGGACGGGUGAGUAAUGCAUAGGAAUCUGCCCUAUAGUUUGGGAUAACUACUCGAAAGAGUGGCUAAUACCGGAUGUGGACUACGGUUUAAAGCAGGGGACCUUCGGGCCUUGCGCUAUAGGAUGAGCCUAUGUGGGAUUAGCUAGUUGGUGAGGUAAAGGCUCACCAAGGCGACGAUCUCUAGCUGGUCUGAGAGGAUGAUCAGCCACACUGGGACUGAGACACGGCCCAGACUCCUACGGGAGGCAGCAGUGGGGAAUAUUGGACAAUGGGCGGAAGCCUGAUCCAGCAAUACCGCGUGUGUGAAGAAGGCCUUCGGGUUGUAAAGCAC